rnacentral:lncRNA from 1 species
GGGAACCUCUGGAGGGCUAACUUACCAGAUCCUCGAGAAGACCUUGACGACUCUGAGGUGGGGCUAACUUAUCAGACCCCUAUAGAGCUCGAGUCAUGCGAGAAGUGGAGGGAGACCCUUGAGGGAAUCUCCAGAGAGAUAACUAAUCAGACCCUCAGAAUGCCUCCAAGACUGCAAGAUGCCAUAGGUACAAGCUCGCUGCUAGCACACACUACCCCUUGUGCGAAGAUAAGAAGUACUAGAUGCCGUAGGCAUA